AGAGUAACAUCUGUAGCUCAGUGGUACAACAUCUGCCUUGUAUGCAGAAGAGCCCAGGUUCCGGUCCUCGCAUCUCUA